ensembl:lncRNA
CAGAAGCUGAAAAUUUUUAUAUUAUGUGCUUUUUUUUAAGCCAUUACUGUGUAUUAGUCUGAUAAAUGCCUGUGGAAAAUAAAACACUGGGGUUGGGAUGGAAUUUGAGAUAGGACCAGACACAGUAGAAAAGUAAAAAUGUUUACCAAAACCAGGGAAUUUAUUUCUGUAUGAUUAGGUUCUUAUAUUCUGUCCUUAAAUCUAAACAUUGCUGGCUGAUGACAGUCUCUGGUGAAAUCAGUUUUAGAGAGAAGACGUGUAAAUCAUCAGUGACAGGAGUAGAAGAGAACCUGAUUUUUUUUCUAAUGAGGCAAUUUGCAAAAACUGUCCUUGAAGUGUGGUAUAGGCUUUCAAGGGGAUUAAUUUAGUAAGUUGGAUGGAUUUAACUUAACCUGGUACUCUGCUAUCCCAGGGCUUCUCUGGUGGCUCAGAUGGUAAAGAGUUAUCUGCAAUGCAGGAGACAUGGGUUCGAUCCCUGAGUUGGGAAGAUCCCCUGGAGAAGGGAAUAGCAACUCACUCCAUUAUUCUUGCCUGGAGAAUUCCAUGGACAGAAGAGCCUGGCUGGGGUUGCAAAGAGUCGGACAAGAGUUGGACAAGACUGAAUGACAGAUGACAGAGAAUGAGAUGGUUGGAUGGCAUCACCAAAUCAAUGGACAUGAGUUUAAGCAAACUCUGGGAGAUGGUGAUGGACAGGAAAGCCUGACAUGCUGCAGUCCAUGGGGUCACAAAGAGUUGAACAGACUUAACAACUGAACAACAACAAUUGUUAUCCCGGGAUCAUGCAUAUCAUCAGAGCCCUGGAUAUGACCCGUUUUACAAAACUCAGGAACAAACCCAGAUUCCCAUGACCUCAGCAAACUAAACUAGGCCAGGUUUCCCAAUAUGCGAAAUGUUAUUUAUGACCCAUGAGGAAAAGAUGGUAGAAAUGUAGAGAGGGUCUGACCAGGUGCUCUAUUCUAGGCCUUUCUCUAGUUUCUCAAAGGCAGAAUAUUGGCCCCUAAUCCUGCAUCAUAAACAUUCACUUCCUGUAUUGAGGCUGUGAGGUAAGACACAAUAAGAGAGGGACCUCAGAUUAACAGGAAAACGUGAAAGACAAGAACCUAGAUGACAUCUCACCAUUCUUUUGGUGCUCACGGGGGCCGACGUGAAGUAGCUGUUGCUUUAUUUCCUCCAUGACCUCCUUUCCUCCCACCUUGAACAAGCAAGUGAGAAGUGUAGCAAGAGACACUGGAUACGCAUCUACCAUGAACCAGAGAGGCCACCACAGGGCCUGGUGCUUCCAUACAUAAAGGGUCUCAAGCCCAAUCUGGUUUAUGUCACCUCUCCCAGUGGUAGAGUUAACUCUUCUCUGAAAAGGUAUGGGUUCAUUUAGUUCUUGAACAUCCAAACAUAAUUCAAACCACCAAGAGGAAACAUUUCAAGAGACAAAAGAGUGAAUACCUUUGUAAAAAUGAAAUCAAUUUGUGAUACAAGCAGUUUCCCCUUUGUAGGAGUGACUCAUUUUAAUAUUGGGACUUCUUAAGCAUGUAUCUCUGUCCAAUCUCCUGAUCCAUCUCUACGUGAUGGAGCCAUCCCAAUGUGAAGCUUUCAGAUAUUGAGUGUUGUUGAUAACCUUCAUCAUGUUUCUGGAACAUGAUAUGAAGGAUUUAUAUUGUUUCAGGUCAUAAUUUCCCAAUCAAUUUGUUAAAAUCCCCAAAACACUGAAAACUAUACAUUGCUUCACCAGAGAUUACAAGCCAUAGCACUUCUGACUUUAGGAUGAAGCCCUAGGACAAUGAAAUGAGUGCACAGCGAUUCACUCUCGAGAGGGAGGCCUCAUGACAUGAACUGUCUGGUGCUACAACUUAACCAACAUAUUUGAUGCUUUUUUUUUUUGGUAUUGCUUGUUCAAAUAUUGUUAGUAUUAUUUUAAGUUAUGUCAUAAAAAAAUAUGGUUGGGAAAGCACAAUUCUGCCUGUUUCUGCCCUCCAAAGUGGUUGCAUGUGGUCCGAGGCCUCAUCCAUUGUCCUCUCUGCAUCUCUGCACUACUUUCCCAGGCCCAGAC